GCGGGUGUAGCUCAGUGGUAGAGCGUCAGCUUCCCAAGCUGAAUGUCGCGGGUUCGACCCCCGUCGCCCGCUCCA
rnacentral:tRNA from 1 species